GAUCUAUGAUGACACAUGUAUUAUCCGAUUACGAUGAAGUAAACUUAGCUCCAGAAUUACACAGAGAUCCA
rnacentral:snoRNA from 1 species